GCGUUUGUGGUGUAAUGGUUAGCAUGGAUGCUUUCCAAGCAUUCGACGGGGGUUCCAUUCCCCACAAACGCA
rnacentral:tRNA from 1 species